rnacentral:tRNA from 1 species
GCCUGUGUGGCUCUGUCGGUUAAGCGUCUGACUUCGGCUCAGGCCAUGAUCUCAUGGUUUGUGGGUUCAAGCCCCACAUCGGGCU